rnacentral:rRNA from 1 species
UACGGAGGGAGCUAGCGUUGUUCGGAAUUACUGGGCGUAAAGCGCGCGUAGGCGGCUUUGUAAGUUAGAGGUGAAAGCCCGGAGCUCAACUCCGGAACUGCCUUUAAAACUGCAUCGCUUGAAUCCAGGAGAGGUGAGUGGAAUUCCGAGUGUAGAGGUGAAAUUCGUAGAUAUUCGGAAGAACACCAGUGGCGAAGGCGGCUCACUGGACAGCUACUGACACUGAGGCGCGAGAGCGUGGGGAGCAAACAGG